rnacentral:rRNA from 1 species
AGAGUUUGAUCCUGGCUCAGGAUGAACGCUGGCGGUCUGCUUAACACAUGCAAGUCGAACGCACCUUUCGGGGUGAGUGGCGGACGGGUGAGUAACGCGUGAGAAUCUGCCUUUUGGUCGGGGACAACCACUGGAAACGGUGGCUAAUACCGGAUGUGCCUACGGGUAAAAGAUUUAUUGCCAGAAGAAGAGCUCGCGUCUGAUUAGCUAGUUGGCGGAGUAAAAGCCCACCAAGGCGACGAUCGGUAGCUGGUCUGAGAGGACGAUCAGCCACACUGGGACUGAGACACGGCCCAGACUCCUACGGGAGGCAGCAGUGGGGAAUUUUCCGCAAUGGGCGAAAGCCUGACGGAGCAAGACCGCGUGGGGGAAGAAGGCUCUUGGGUUGUAAACCCCUUUUCUCUGGGAAGAAAGUUGUGAAAGCAACCUGACGGUACCAGAGGAAUCAGCAUCGGCUACUCCGUGCCAGCAGCCGCGGUAAGACGGAGGAUGCAAGCGUUAUCCGGAAUGAUUGGGCGUAAAGCGUCCGCAGGUGGCAGUUCAAGUCUGCUGUCAAAGACCGGGGCUUAACUUCGGAAAGGCAGUGGAAACUGAACAGCUAGAGUAUGGUAGGGGCAGAGGGAAUUCCUGGUGUAGCGGUGAAAUGCGUAGAGAUCAGGAAGAACAUCGGUGGCGAAGNNNCUCUGCUGGACCAUAACUGACACUCAGGGACGAAAGCUAGGGGAGCGAAUGGGAUUAGAUACCCUAGUAGUCC